CUACGGGCUGCACCAGUGAGGAAUAUUGGUCAAUGGACGCAAGUCUGAACCAGCCAUGCCGCGUGCAGGAUGACGGCCCUAUGGGUUGUAAACUGCUUUUAUUAAGGAAUAAACCCCAUUACGUGUAAUGGGCUGAACGUACUUAAAGAAUAAGCAUCGGCUAACUCCGUGCCAGCAGCCGCGGUAAUACGGAGGAUGCAAGCGUUAUCCGGAUUCAUUGGGUUUAACGGGUUCGCAGGCGGCGUAUUAAGUCAGUGGUGAAAUCCCCCGGCUCAACCGGGGAACUGCCAUUGAUACUGGUAUGCUAGAGUAUAGUUGGCGUAGGCGGAAUAUUUCAUGUAGCGGUGAAAUGCUUAGAUAUGAAAUAGAACACCGAUCGCGAAGGCAGCUUACGAAACUAUAACUGACGCUCAGGAACGAAAGCGUGGGGAGCGAACAGGAUUAGAUACCCUGGUAGUC
rnacentral:rRNA from 1 species